rnacentral:rRNA from 1 species
UCCCAUUUCUUUAAGAAAGUAAGAUCCCUGAGAGAUGAUCAGGUAGAUAGGUCAGGAGUGGAAGUACAGUGAUGUAUGGAGCGGACUGAUACUAAUCGAUCGAGGACUUAACCAA